rnacentral:rRNA from 1 species
UAGGGAAUCUUCCACAAUGGACGCAAGUCUGAUGGAGCCACGCCGCGUGAGUGAAGAAGGUUUUCGGAUCGUAAAGCUCUGUUGUUGGUGAAGAAGGAUAGAGGCAGUAACUGGUCUUUAUUUGACGGUAAUCAACCAGAAAGUCACGGCUAACUACGUGCCAGCAGCCGCGGUAAUACGUAGGUGGCAAGCGUUGUCCGGAUUUAUUGGGCGUAAAGCGAGCGCAGGCGGAAUGAUAAGUCUGAUGUGAAAGCCCACGGCUCAACCGUGGAACUGCAUCGGAAACAGUCAUUCUUGAGUGCAGAAGAGGAGAGUAGAAUUCCAUGUGUAGCGGUGGAAUACGUAGAUAUAUGGAAGAAAACCAGUGGAGAGGGCGGCUCUCUGGUCUAAAAAUGACGCUGAGGCUCGAAAGCAUGGGUAGCGAGCAGG